UAGAUUAAGCUGUGCAUCUGAGUGUG
rnacentral:piRNA from 1 species